rnacentral:tRNA from 1 species
AUAGUAGUAGUAUAAAAAGUAUUUUUGUUUUCCAAACAAAUGGUUUCCAUUGAACUAUUAUA